GAAAGUGUCAUUUUACGACAGUGAACGCAGCGGGACAGCUUUAUGGGGACGGCGGUGCAAGACUUUCCAUACCAGGAAUCCAUUAUCCAAGAUACUCAGCAAUCCCAUGUUGAACUCAGCCAAGACAGGCCUUCAUCUACUCAUAAUCAGGUGCUUCUAAAGACAAAGGCCUCCCACAUGUGAACAGGCAGAGCUCACACCUUCUCUGAUGGACACUGGACAAGUACCAGCAUUUUCAUUUAAGAGAUCCCCGAGUGAAGACAACACAAACAUUGAUACAACAGCAGUACCUCACAGUCAACCUCUCACCUUUCUCAGAUCCAGUCAAAGCCCUCUACUCGACUUUCUACCUCCAAGAGAAAGAAAAAAAAACACAAUAGGGAAUUUAUUUUCUGCUAUCGUAUCUCUCUUACUUUAUUGUGCAUCAUACUAUCCCUAUACCUCAGGGAAAGUGUCCCACUGCCUACCUCUUCCACCGACAGCCAACCUACUGGAAACAACUCCACAACUCUGACCUCUCUGUGCUGGAAGCGUGACAGAACCGCAGUUGCCUCUCAAACUCACAACACCACAACUGUGACCACCACCUGCGACCUUUGACUUAUCUGACAGCUCUCUGAUAAAAACACACAUGAACCUCAAGAAAGCAUAGCUACCACCCACCGGCAGCUACACACUCACUGUAAUAUCAUCCACUGGUUGUAAUGAUAACAAUAUUUCUGGUAGGCUAUUACAAUAUACC
ensembl:lncRNA